GCGGUUAGUUCGACCUCUGCCUCGUCUUCUUGCUUCGUCGUCGGCGGAGCUGAUGGCGCGGCGAUUAAGGGAGAGCGGCCCUUUGAUCCCGCGUUCGUUCGUUCGUCAGCUUCGCCUUCUUCUCAAGGUUGAAUCCUGUCUUUCUCCUGACAUGUUUUUUGAAUAUAACGAACGGGAACCAACGACGAAACCCUCUGUGUCGAUCAAGAUUCAAGGGGUUUUGUUGUGUCUGUUAAUCGAUCGACGAGCCGACCGCACACCGAUUCUGGAUCGGUUUCCUUCUUGUAAAGAACAGAGUUCUGGAUCGAUCCGGCAUGAAGAAGACGUGCUUCUGCGGAGCGGAUGAGGGAUGUGGAUGAACGCGGCGGAUGGGUGGUGCGAUCUCGCUUGUGCUCGGUAGCCAUGACAAUCUAUGUUGCUAGCGAGGCUUUCAAGGUUUGUUCGCGCCCCCGCUGUUUUUUCUACUUCUUGGCUGUUCGAGGCAUGCCUUUCUGGGUUGAUUGCGAUUCUGUUUGCUGCUAUGGGGGAAGGUGCCAUGGAGACGUCUAUGGAGGUUCAACUUCUUGCGGAGAAGUGGAAGCUUCUGCUCGCUUGACUCUCUGUUUCAGUGUGUCCAUGGUUUGGCAGCGCGUGGGGUGGACCAGCCUUACUGGAUCUUGGAUUUAUGAUACUUUCGGUGUGUAUACUAUGUUGCAUUCUCCUGUCCAGGCUUUAAUAACAUCAAAUAUUUGGGCAAACAAAAUUUGACCAAAUUGUAAGAAUCAUCUUAUGAUUGUUAAUGGUUUUCACAGGAACCUGGGAAAGAAAGAGGUCUUACCUUCAUCCUUUUGCUCUUGCAUAGUGGUUUGUUAAUCUUAAUUUCUUUGUUAAGUCGCUGAUAGGUUGCAUGAUCUAUUGUAAAUGCGCAUAUGGAAUCAUCGUGAAUUCUUAAAACUAGUAAUAACUAAACUUCAAAUUUGAAGUGGUACAUGCCUGGUUGGAAAUUGUACA